AGUGAACGCUGGCGGUAGGCCUAACACAUGCAAGUCGAACGGCAGCACAGUAAGAGCUUGCUCUUACGGGUGGCGAGUGGCGGACGGGUGAGGAAUACAUCGGAAUCUACUUUUUCGUGGGGGAUAACGUAGGGAAACUUACGCUAAUACCGCUUACGACCUACGGGUGAAAGCAGGGGAUCUUCGGACCUUGCGCGAUUGAAUGAGCCGAUGUCGGAUUAGCUAGUUGGCGGGGUAAAGGCCCACCAAGGCGACGAUCCGUAGCUGGUCUGAGAGGAUGAUCAGCUACACUGGAACUGAGACACGGUCCAGACUCCUACGGGAGGCAGCAGUGGGGAAUAUUGGACAAUGGGCGCAAGCCUGAUCCAGCCAUACCGCGUGGGUGAAGAAGGCCUUCGGGUUGUAAAGCCCUUUUGUUGGGAAAGAAAAGCAGCAGGUUAAUACCCCGCUGUUCUGACGGUACCCAAAGAAUAAGCACCGGCUAACUUCGUG
rnacentral:rRNA from 1 species